CUGCACUAUAACGGUGACAAAUGUUGUCCACAAACUGUUGGGACAGCUUUAUGUAGGCCCUUACAGCAGAGUCACAACAGCAGUCCCCACAUCUUACCACUGCUACACCUGGCUAUCAGUGGAGUCCCAACAGCAGAGUCCCAACAGCAGUCCCCACAUCUUACCACUGCUACACCUGGCUAUCAGUGGAGUCACAACAGCAGUCCCCACAUCUUACCACUGCUACACCUGGCUAUCAGUGGAGUCCCAACAGCAGAGUCCCAACAGCAGUCCCCACAUCUUACCACUGCUACACCUGGCUAUCAGUGGAGUCCCAACAGCAGUCCCCACAUCUUACCACUGCUACACCUGGCUAUCAGUGGAGUCCCAACAGCAGAGUCCCAACAGCAGUCCCCACAUCUUACCACUGCUACACCUGGCUAUCAGUGGAGUCCCAACAGCAGAGUCCCAACAGCAGUCCCCACAUCUUACCACUGCUACACCUGGCUAUCAGUGGAGUCCCAACAGCAGAGUCACAACAGCAGUCCCCACAUCUUACCACUGCUACACCUGGCUAUCAGUGGAGUCCCAACAGCAGAGUCCCAACAGCAGUCCCCACAUCUUACCACUGCUACACCUGGCUAUCAGUGGAGUCCCAACAGUAGAGUCCCAACAGCAGUCCCCACAUCUUACCACUGCUACACCUGGCUAUCAGUGGAGUCCCAACAGCAGAGUCCCAACAGCAGUCCCCACAUCUUACCACUGCUACACCUGGCUAUCAGCGGAGUCCCAACAGCAGUCCCCACAUCUUACCACUGCUACACCUGGCUAUCAGUGGAGUCCCAACAGCAGUCCCCACAUCUUACCACUGCUACACCUGGCUAUCAGUGGAGUCCCAACAGCAGUCCCCACAUCUUACCACUGCUACACCUGGCUAUCAGUGGAGUCCCAACAGCAGAGUCCCAACAGCAGUCCCCACAUCUUAACCACUGCUACACCUGGCUAUCAGUGGAGUCCCAACAGCAGAGUCCCAACAGCAGUCCCCACAUCUUACCACUGCUACACCUGGCUAUCAGUGGAGUCCCAACAGUAGAGUCCCAACAGCAGUCCCCACAUCUUACCACUGCUACACCUGGCUAUCAGCGGAGUCCCAACAGCAGAGUCCCAACAGCAGUCCCCACAUCUUACCACUGCUACACCUGGCUAUCAGUGGAGUCCCAACAGCAGUCCCCACAUCUUACCACUGCUACACCUGGCUAUCAGUGGAGUCCCAACAGCAGUCCCCACAUCUUACCACUGCUACACCUGGCUAUCAGUGGAGUCCCAACAGCAGAGUCCCAACAGCAGUCCCCACAUUUUUUUUAA
rnacentral:lncRNA from 1 species